ACUAAAAGUACACAAUACGGAGUUAUUUAAGACAGAGAUUUGCCUGCUACCACUCAACUUGGCAGAAUGUGGCGCCGACAAUCAACAACUGAAUGGUCAAAUCCUCAAGCGAAAUGAAAAUUUCAAGCGUUCCGGUAUCAAAGCAAGAUCUACAAAAAACCGGUAAGUGCUUUACAGUUGUAAAAAAAAGUGUAUUCAAAAUAUAAUGAUUAAGACUGGAAUUUCUCGGUAAACUCUGGCGAAAAACAGUUCAGUUAAAAGUCACAAUUUUAACUGUUUUUCUUUCAUCGCAGGGAGUCGCUCGUUGGUGUCAAUGCUGGACUGAAAGUUUAUGGAAAUAUUUACUGGAGAAUUAUUAAAAGUUACUCCAGUAAACAUUCCGCCAACUGCUCCUGCCAUCAGGUAACUAGAACGACUGGCAUUGCUGUCAAGGUCACUAGUAGCUGCUGUGUUGCUUGGCGUGGCUGAGCUAUUGAGAACAAUCUCCCGUAAAGCAUGACUUGAAUAGCCGUUGGUAGUUGUCGUGCUUGGCGUGGUUUGAAAGCGGCCAACUUAUUCGAUAUUCGCCGCUGUUUUUCCAGAGGAUUAUGGCUGUAGCUGGAUAUGGAUUCCGGAUUGGCGUGGCCAGUGAGCUCUUAUAACCUCAGCGGGUCGAAAUCAUCACGGAGCGCUUGGAUGACUGUUUGCGACCACUCGAAUUUGUGAAUUUGCCGUCUAGGGAGGCGAUGGACACAAUACUCUACAUAUGUUUUGCCAAUGCAUUUCUACCAGUUGGAACCAUCUUGUACCAGACAUUGGAUUUGGGCUCUCAAUUGGACUCAGGUAGAAAUUUCCAGGAACGUUAUCACCCUUCGGACGGUGACCAACGUACUCGAUAAAUGCUCUGUGCGGAUCUCGCUCUCCACCAUCCGUCCUCCAAAUUUAGUUGUUUUAGUUUCUCGCCCGUUUUGUCGCAGUCGGUUAGUCUCCCUGGCGGUUCUUGGUUUGUCGCUCUUUGUAUUCGAUGUACUGUUCUGGCACGAUGAAAUCACUUAGUUGACAAUCAUGUUGUUCUUAGGUGUGUAACAUUGUUUCACCAGACCAGAUGGAGAAGAGAGCGGGGAUUUUGAAGGCCGAUUGCACCUGACGACCACAUCUUUUCAAUGUCUUGUUUCAACUGGUUGAGCGGCAUUUGGUUUGUUGCCAAGACCCUUUUCCUUGAAAUCUUUUUUCUUCAUGGAUAGCAUCGUUGAAACUUCCUCGAACUCAAUGAACGAAGAUUUUUCGAGGCCGAAGUUAUCUGUUGCCGGUGGACAUAGACGCUCCAGAAAGUACCUUCGUAAACCAUUGCGAUGCCUGAUGAUGCCACUAGAAGUACAUGUUUGCAGCACCUGGACUCUAGCCCCUUCAGAAUAAAUAUAAGGAGAUUCUUUCCAAUAUUUAUAGUUAUAGGUUGCUUCUAUUGGAAUUAUAAUCCUGAAUCUAUACACCGAAUCAUAACGGCGGAAGCCUUAGAGAAGCCUCGGUACGAGAACAUUAAAACGAGGCGGAUAAGGAUUUCAACAGGUUUCCUUCCCUCAAGACUCGCUCCAGGAAUAUCAUUUUCCCGUGAGUACCACUGGAAUAGUCGGUCGGCAUUAGAUAACAUAGGGUGAAGUAGAUCCGAAUGAUUAGCAUUUUCCGAUCAUCGUAGUGACGUCAUCUCCCGACCGCAUGGUAAACUUCGGAAAUUAACAUAGCGACGUAAUCAUGAAACCAGUAUGUUGCGGGCGAUUGUAGGCUUUAAGCUCAGACCAGGCCACGCAUCGUUUUGGUUUACGUUUGUAGACUAAUCAGCAGUUCGCGGGACAAGCAGAUAGAUGUUUCCGGAGGAACUCACGAGCCGACCUAUUCUCGAGCUACCUCACCCGAUGUUAUUUGGACCUUUUGCACAGGACACUACAUAACAUAGGGAGUCUGCACUGCCAGGCACUUUGAUGGACAAACAGAAAGGUGCUGGGAUCCUGUUCUGUAGUGUGGUCUUCUCCAUCUGUUGUGGCUGAAGAGACAUCUCCACAUGGCUGGAAGCAGAUGAAGUCCUCCAGGCUAGAUGCUUUCCACUGGAUAACUUUUUCUGCCACAUUCUCUUGAUCAAUUUUUGAGAAUCUGUGCUUUAUGGUAGCUCGUUACAUGUGGCUCCUUAUAUCACUCAGCUUUGGAUAAAACCUAUGGUUUGAGGGAGAUGGUUGGAUUUCAUCCUUUGCUAAUAUUUCGUUUUUUAUGUAGACAGUCAGGUGUCUCCGCAUUUCAUGGGUGUCUUUCACUCCCUCAUUGACAAGCUUUUCAAUUUGUCUGAUGAUCCUGUCAUCCACAGGCUGAGGUAGGCUGCUUCCCUGGAAUGAAAUGACAAUAAUAUGUGUUAAGAUAUUAAUUUCUCUCAAGGCAUGUUAUACUAAAGUUAAAACAGAGAGAAGUGUUAUAGCUCCAACAAGACACCUUAU